rnacentral:rRNA from 1 species
UGCCUACGGGGGGCAGCAGUGAGGAAUAUUGGUCAAUGGGCGGAAGCCUGAACCAGCCAAGUCGCGUGAGGGAAUAAGGCCCUACGGGUCGUAAACCUCUUUUGCCGGGGAGCAAGGGCGGGGACGUGUCCCGGCCCGGAGAGUACCCGGAGAAAAAGCAUCGGCUAACUCCGUGCCAGCAGCCGCGGUAAUACGGAGGAUGCGAGCGUUAUCCGGAUUUAUUGGGUUUAAAGGGUGCGUAGGCGGGCUUUUAAGUCAGCGGUAAAAAUUCGGGGCUCAACCCCAUCCGGCCGUUGAAACUGGGG